rnacentral:tRNA from 1 species
CAGCAUGUAAUUUAAUUAAAAAUUUAAAUUUUGGGGAUUUAAUAUAACAUAUUUGUUUUUGCUGA